rnacentral:rRNA from 1 species
UACGUAGGGUGCGAGCGUUGUCCGGAAUUACUGGGCGUAAAGAGCUCGUAGGUGGUUUGUCGCGUUGUUCGUGAAAACCGGGGGCUUAACCCUCGGCGUGCGGGCGAUACGGGCAGACUUGAGUACUGCAGGGGAGACUGGAAUUCCUGGUGUAGCGGUGGAAUGCGUAGAUAUCGGGAGGAACACCAGUGGCGAAGGCGGAGACCUGGGCCGAUACUGACGCUGAGGUGCGAAAGCGUGGGGAGCAAACAGG